GUUUAUAGCACCAGCUCAACAGGAGUUAGUUGGGUCUUUCCCCAGGCUACGUUUCACAAGGCUGAAGCAGGUCCAAGCAGUUCUAUACGUUAAUGUUUAACCAGUCCAGCCCCCCGGGCUAUAUAAACUUUUAUCUCCCAGUGCGAGGAGAACAACUGACAAACUUGUGCUGUUACCGGCUGCUGUCAUCUUCUUACUCCUCGCCAAGCGAAGUUCCACACCAAGUCCACAGAGUCAGCCACAGGCCUCAAUCACACUUGGGAAGAUGUUUUGUGAAGGUGCUCUAUGUGGUAUGGGAUACACGGAGAAGGAAAAGGCCCAGAAGACCUCAACUCGGCCAAUAAUGCUACUGAACAUGGCAGCUGACAACAGUGCCUGCAGUGCAGACAUCAUCUUCAGCCCAGUCAGAUGCAGCUCUAAUAUAUCCCAAAGUAAGACAGUGGUAGGGAAGGACAGCCAGACAUCCGAAUACAACUGGCGUUCUGGCAAGCUCUCUACCUAGGCCUCUCUUUUUCGUGAACAGGCAUGAAUGGAAGAUCUUACAGAAUACAUAAUUACAUUACAUUACCGACAGCUGCAGGUUGUCUGUAUGUUGCUUUGGGUAAAAGCGUCUGCUAAAUACCAGUCCGUUACCUUUACAUGUCAUUGCAUUACAUUUAGUCGUUUAAGAGACAUUUUUUACAUUAAGAGAUACUAGCAGUAAAAACAAUAUCACUCUACCAGUAGAGUGCCAGUGGUCCGUCUACUCAUCACUGCUUUCUAGGAAAUGAACUGGACUUGGAACGGCUUCACCUGAUAAAAGGCCUGUUCCGCCAUUACAGAGAAGUGAUGGGCGUGAAACCUGGACACCAUUACAGAGAAGUGAUGGGCGGGAAACCUGGACAGGGAGCCUGUGCCCAGCCUCGGCUUGGAAACUUUGAAGAACAAUAGCUCAUAGUGUCAGUGAAAGUGACUUUUUUUUUUUAUUCCAAAUGAUGUCAAACCAGAGUGAGCAAAAAAUGAAUACACGUUCAGUACAAAUAUAGAACAUACUGUACAUGUUCAGUAGGCUGAUGGACAUUGAACCAGCACAUGGAGCCAUCCCAGAAUACUCAUUCCCAGAAAACUGGGUGCAGUGAGGAAGAUGGAGACAAUUUAUGUCUUUACUGUUGCUAAUGAAUUUUUGUUCAGUAUUUUGACACUGUUCUCUGCCAAAGUCUCUUUGUUGUGAAUAUUGUCUGUUAACAAUUUAUAUAUAUUUAAAAUUUUUGUUGUGUAUUUAUUGCACUUGCUAUUUAAUUAUUUUUAAGUUAAGUUCAGACUGUUAUUGAACUUGAUUGUUCAGAGAUUUGGCCUGAAAUGUGUCCUGAGUAAAACUGUAGCCAGCUAACAAGACUGCAUUGUUUCCAUAUUCCCAAAGGGAUGACUAUUUCCACAAGCCCCAAACAGGCUGGAGAAAUCAUGCUUUAAGGAUGCGUGUGCGUGCGUGUGUGUGUGUGUGUGUGGUGUGUGUGUGCGUUAGGGGUGGGUUUUUUUGUUGCAUUUUUGGGUCUUAUUUAACAACACUGUCAAGCUACACCCCAUCAUGUAGUUCUUAGAGUGACAGCCAGUUAAACCAGGACAGAUCACAGUUCACGUGAUCAGUGUCUGACUCAUGUUCCCGGGACAUCUCCAUAAAAAUGUUCUGUACACACUGUGAUGAUGUCUCUUUUAUGUACAGAACAGCUCAGAAGGUUACACAGAGCACAUGACUUGACUGCAAAGGUGUCAUGUAUGCUAUUAUACAUUGUUUAGUUAUUGUUUUACCUUUUGCUGGAAAGAAUGUAAAAACUGCAAUACAAAAUACAUAAAUCAGUAGUGUGAUAUGUUGGUAUUGUAUGUCUCAUGCUUUUGACUAAUGUGCUUAUGUUCUAAACCCUUUAAAAACAUGAAAUAAGACCUUUAUUUUUCAUUUGGUAUCUUCUCAGUUAUAAAAUUGGACAGAAAUAUAAAAACGAGACCAAUAAUUUUAGAUAUUUUUUUAAUAGAAGUUCUAAUGCUGUUUACCCUGUUUACACAGAAUUGCUUAUCUACCUGAAAGAAAUCACACCAACUUUCACCAUACCCAUGGUAAUAUACAAUAUGUUUCUAUCCGCAUAUGAUAAAAUAAACUACCUAAAAAAAACA
rnacentral:lncRNA from 1 species